rnacentral:rRNA from 1 species
UACAGAGGUCUCAAGCGUUGUUCGGAUUCAUUGGGCGUAAAGGGUGUGUAGGUGGCGCCGUAAGUCGGGUGUGAAAUUCCGGAGCUUAACUCCGAAACUGCAUUCGAUACUGCGGUGCUUGAGGACUGGAGAGGAGACUGGAAUUCAUGGUGUAGCAGUGAAAUGCGUAGAGAUCAUGAGGAAGACCAGUGGCGAAGGCGGGUCUCUGGACAGUUCCUGACACUGAGACACGAAGGCCAGGGGAGCAAACGGG